AUGAGGACCUGUGUGCUUGAUUGUUCUUUAAUUUCCCAAAUCUGUAAGAGUUGCUGCAGCUGUGUGCAUCCCAUCAGAGCCGUUAUCCAAAGCAGCAAUUACUGUCUGGUCUGUCCCUCUUGGAGCACAAGGCAAUGCUGCUUCCAGCGGGAGCCAGCUGAGAGCUUGUCCUUAAUUGAGGCAGUUUGUUGGCUGCUCCAGAUCUGGAUACGAACCUCUCAGGCCGAAGACCUUUGCCAGGGUUUCAUUGCUUGCUGUCGCAGGGAACCUGCCCAUGGCUCUGGGACCAGGCAUAGAGAGCCCAGGGCAGCGCGUGGAGGUGUGCCUGCUGAGCCCGGGGCUGGAUCUGGCCCACCGUUCUUGCUGUUCCCAAGGCAACUGCAUCUACGUGGUGGGGUCUGCCAGGAGGGACGCUCUGCGAAACACCCUUUGGACCCAUUGGCUCUAAAGAACUUGUGAAUUGGAUGAAGUGCUGUGAUUCCCCAGCAGGGCAACAGAGAAGACCUACGGCAGCUUCUUAUCGUCUUCGCUGGCACCUUUCCCUAAAAGACAUUAAAUGUUUUUUUUAUUGUUUUUUUUUUUUUUUUUUUUCCCCCAGAACUGGUUGUGGUAACAGUGCAGGAAUGCAAAUAAACAAGUAAAAGUCAUUCUAAUCA
rnacentral:lncRNA from 1 species